ACAGGUUUUGUUUUAUCUUCUUUAAAAUUUUGCAGUGACCCAAACACACCAGGAUUCAACUGGGUUUUGACUCCCUUGGAACUAUAGAGACAAAUAUUAUAAAAUCUGAAAUGAUAACAUUUUCACAUGGAAAGCGUAUCAAGGAGACACACAGCCACAUAUCAAGGUUUCACAGGACCAGAUCCUCAACUAGCGCGAAUCGGAGUUGCUCCACUGACUUCAAAUGAGCACUACGUUGACUUCAAUUGGCCUGCAAUAAAAUGAACUGUUGAGGAGGAGAAGACAAAAAAAGGAAGAGAAAGGGAGAUAAGGAGGACAAAGCAAGAGGAGAGAAGAGGAGACGAGGGCACCCCAGCUGCACCCGGUCAACUACAAAUAGCACACAGGGAUAGAUCACAGUGCAGAAUCAGGCAGAAUGUGUCUCUAUAAGGAGCAUAUACAUUGUGUACGGAUACACGCCCAAAAAGCUGGAAUAGCUCCAGUGAAAUGCUGCACUGACUACCAGUUCAAAUAUUUUUUUUAAAAGUGUGUAUUAUUUAUUCAGUGAUCCAGGUCUCAUUUAAUCAGGUAAAUAUUAGAACCAUGCCAGAAAAUAGGGGAUUUUUUUCUUUUAUUACUGAGAAAAGUGAAAUUAAAAAAAGCGUGAAUGAAAAAAUACUGAUAUUUUAGCCUAGGGCAAGUUUUUACAGCCAAGAUAUAAACUACUGGUAAUAGAGAUUUAUAAUUGACACAUUCUAACUAGAGAACCAAUGUAAAACAAAAUACAUACA